rnacentral:lncRNA from 1 species
UCGUGUAUUCUACUCUACAAAUGACUUUACAUAUAUUGCACAAUUAGAAGCAUCUAUGUCCAGCCAAGAGAAUAGGCAGUCAUAGGGCAUCAUGGAAUAGAUUGACUAUUCUUGUUCAUCAUUUUUUUAGUUGAAUCUUUUGUAUUUUCUUAUUCUUCUUUCUCACUUGUACAUAAUUCCUUUCACUGAUAAAUAUGGGG